GGAGGCAGCAGUGGGGAAUCUUGGACAAUGGGCGCAAGCCUGAUCCAGCAAUGCCGCGUGUGGGAAGAAGGCCUUCGGGUUGUAAACCACUUUUAUCGGGGGAGAAAUGCCGUGGGCUAAUACCCGCCGGAAAUGACGGUACCUGCAGAAUAAGCCCCGGCUAACUACGUGCCAGCAGCCGCGGUAAUACGUAGGGUGCAAGCGUUAAUCGGAAUUACUGGGCGUAAAGCGUGCGUAGGCGGUUUGUUAAGUCUGAUGUGAAAUCCCCGGGCUCAACCUGGGAAUGGCAGUGGAUACUGGCAGGCUAGAGUGCGGCAGAGGGGAGUGGAAUUCCCGGUGUAGCGGUGAAAUGCGUAG
rnacentral:rRNA from 1 species